rnacentral:rRNA from 1 species
UACGUAGGGUGCGAGCGUUAUUCGGAAUUACUGGGCGUAAAGCGUGCGCAGGCGGCUGAGCAAGUCGAGUGUGAAAGCCCCGGGCUUAACUUGGGAAUUGCGCUCGAAACUACUUUGCUGGAGUGUGGCAGAGGAAGGUGGAAUUCCAGGUGUAGCGGUGAAAUGCGUAGAUAUCUGGAGGAAUACCGGUGGCGAAGGCGGCAUCCUGGACCGACAUUGACGCUGAAGGGCGAAAGCUAGGGGAGCAAACGGG